AACAUACCUUAUAGUACGGAAUAACUGCGGGAAACUGUAGCUAAUACCGUAUAUUCCAGAAAUGGGAAAGAUUUAUCGCUAUAAGAUUGGCCCGCGCAAGAUUAGCUUGUUGGUGAGGUAAUGGCUCACCAAGGCUCCGAUCUUUAGCUGGUUUGAGAGGACGAUCAGCCACACUGGGACUGAGACACGGCCCAGACUCCUACGGGAGGCAGCAGUAGGGAAUAUUGGACAAUGGGGGAAACCCUGAUCCAGCAAUGCAGCGUGAGUGACGAAGGCCUUAGGGUUGUAAAACUCUUUCAUCGGUGAGGAUAAUGACAGUAGCCGAAGAAGAAGGACCGGCUAAUUCCGUGCCAGCAGCCGCGGUAAUACGGAAGGUCCUAACGU
rnacentral:rRNA from 1 species